ACUCAAGCGUGAUUACCCGCUGAACUUAAGCAUAU
rnacentral:rRNA from 1 species